rnacentral:rRNA from 1 species
GUGGGGAAUAUUGGACAAUGGGCGCAAGCCUGAUCCAGCCAUGCCGCGUGAGUGAUGAAGGCCCUAGGGUUGUAAAGCUCUUUCACCGGUGAAGAUAAUGACGGUAACCGGAGAAGAAGCCCCGGCUAACUUCGUGCCAGCAGCCGCGGUAAUACGAAGGGGGCUAGCGUUGUUCGGAAUUACUGGGCGUAAAGCGCACGUAGGCGGACAUUUAAGUCAGGGGUGAAAUCCCGGGGCUCAACCCCGGAACUGCCUUUGAUACUGGGUGUCUUGAGUAGUGAAGAGGUAAGUGGAAUUCCGAGUGUAGAGGUGAAAUUCGUAGAUAUUCGGAGGAACACCAGUGGCGAAGGCGGCUUACUGGUCCAUUACUGACGCUGAGGUGCGAAAGCGUGGGGAGCAAACAGGAUUAGAAACCCCUGUAGUCC